CAGGUUUGGAAGGAAGCAGCCGU
rnacentral:SRP_RNA from 15 species